rnacentral:rRNA from 1 species
GAAACGACGAAUAAUACCCUAUGAUGUUUCUAUCUCGCAUGAGAUAUUAACCAAAGUGUUAGCGGUGUAAGAUGGACUUGCGUCUGAUUAGCUAGUUGGUGAGAAAAAAGCCCACCAAGGCAACGAUCAGUAGCCGGCUUGAGAGAGUGUACGGCCACAUUGGGACUGAGACACGGCCCAG